rnacentral:lncRNA from 1 species
GUCAAUGAAUAAAUUAAAUGAAAAUUAAUUUAUUAAUUAAUUAGCUACAGUAGGAUUGUUUCCUACUGUAAAAGCUUAGUAAUAACUUCAGAAUGAGUAUAUUACACUAAUAUGCCUUGAUUGUAAUAUCUUCACUAUUCUGCUAAAAUCUGUCUGGUGUCAGAAAUCAAAAUAUGUAAUUAUCCUUAGAAAAUAUUUAUUGUCCUUUUACCUAUAGCUUCCAAUGUCAACUAUACUCUGAUUCUUCAGCAUUUCUUCCUAACAUUUCAUCUUCUGUAAACAGCAUUCAUGGCAAAUGCAUAUGUGUGCACAUGAAGUGAAUGAACAGGAAAAAGUCUAACUCUCCAUUUCAACAGAUGAUAUAUUGCUGGAUGCCCAAGUCAGUUAUAUCAGCCAGUCACACACAUAGAGAUUUUAUUAGAGUACCAGGAAAUGCAGAUAUCAAUAUUCCAAUGUGCUAUCAUGUGAAAGUUUGCAUAACUGUGCCAAGGAGUAAAAAUGGAAUUGCUCUGUAUAAUGAAAGUGACAAUGAUGGAUGGGUAAUGUAUAUAUUGGUGUGGGUUAUUAAGCAAAGUCUACUUGGAAAACCUGAAAAGAAUUCUGAAUUAUCAAUCUGUAUUUUUUUAUAUAUCCAGUGUAUACUAUUGAAAUGGCAUAUGUAGCAGUGAAUGGCCUUACCUGGCACCUGACAUCAAUGGGAGGGAAGGCUCUUGGUCCUGUGAAGGUUGAUGCCGCAGCCUAGGGGAAUGCUGGGGUGGUGAGGAGAAGUAUGUGGUUGGAUGGAAGAGCACCCUCAUAGAAACAGGGGAGGGUUCGGGUACAGGGUUUGUGGAGGAGAAACAAGGGGAAUAACAUUUGAAA